AGAAUCCAUGGCACCUGAAUCCAGAGGAUAAUUCUUUCAGUCUGAAGGAACAUUUCUUUAAAGACAUUCAGAAGGUUGGCCUGCUUACAGUGAAAUAGAUGGAGUUUGGAGAUAAUACUUUCUAGGGAUUCUGCAGGGUCUGGGUGUGGCCCUCAUUAUGACCUCGCUGGUGAUGUUGGCUCUAAUAAGUGCUGGUGUCACAAAGGGCUCUUGCGCGGCUCUCCUAUAAAAGCCGGGCAGCCGCCCCCAGCCCUCAGCCAGAACCACCAUGGCCCGCUACCGCCGGCGCUCCCGCAGGAGCCGCAGCCGGAGCCGCAGCCGCCGCCGCUCCCGCCGUCGGGGUGCGCGGAGGAGGCGGCGGGCUGGAUCCCGCCGCUCGAGAUACCGCCGGCGCCGCCGGGGCGGCAGGAGGCGCAGACGCCGCUGAGCCGAGCUCAGGGCCUCGGCCUUACAGAGCCAGAGCAACCAGAGCGCGGCCCUGACGCGGGCCUGGCUCUGCCAAUAAAGCACAGCAAGCUCC